CAUUUAUACCCUACUCAAAGAGCUACAAUCAGACACGACUAGGACUCGAAUUCCAAAUUAAACAGAAUCCGUAUACAAAAUGAUUUAAAUAACUAAGGAAAACACAAAACUAUCAUCCCGUGACAAACCGGGACACCACCAUGGACCAAUUGGCAAUCUUCAUGUUCUCCUUCCGAAUCAUCGGCAGACUCCUCAUCGUAGCCAUCGACAAAGGCUAACGCUGACCAUCGGCAUGAACGCGUCACCACUCAUGGACUUAGUCAUAUUCAGCUGUCUCUUCAUCGGCAACCACCUUCAUCGGCAACUCCCCUGCAGAUCGGUUACUGUUGCCCUAUCUUGCCGAUCUAUACUCUACCGAUCCCUGGGCACGUGUCCAAAAACGGUGUCAACACAUAGAUGAUGGAACGUGCUCCACAUCACAAGGCUUCUUCCAUCUACUAGAACAAACUACUCAGUAGAAUACCAUUGAGGGAUUAAUCUACCUCUAAUCUCUAUAAUAAGAUCUCUUCCAUUUGCUACAAACUCUACAUGAUUUUCUACAUAUGCCCAAGGGCUGCUCUACUUCACAGACAAACAUAUGCAUGGAUAAAUUUACUAAGCUCAACACCAAGACUUCAUUGGUUUGCCAAGCUCACCAGGAGCGUAAUUAUAGACCAAGGAGUAAUGUUCAUACACCAAGUUUACCGACUACCCAACCUGACAAUUACUAGAGAAAGAAUACAAGCAAAAGGACCACACGUGAAGUUACAGUGCAGUAUAUCCAUAGGAAUAUUCCAACAUUGUGCAACUCGUAAACACUCCGCCUUUAUCACACAAUGGCCACCUACCAACUAUCCCUAACAUACAAGACAGAUGUUAAAAGACGCCAGCCACCUCAGUAUACUACAAAAAGACCCUUUGCCCGAGUUCUUCCUACAAAACCCAAAUAUAGGCUUGGGGCUGCAGGGUACAUAUCCGUUUUUCAACCUAGAAUCUUCAAAGACCCUACAACAUUUUAUUUCAAAUAGCAAGAGGCUCGAGGACUACACUCAGUGAGUGCACUUUUUCUCUGAAAAAGGGCACAUCACUCAAGAAGUUUUUUUCAAGAGAGACCACUUCAUGAUUUCUCUUCAAAAGAAUCCGAAUAAAGCUUGUUAUGACUAGCAAGACAUGGAGGGACAAGGAGGCUUUUGAGUUCAACUAUGAAACGCUCAGGGGCUUGUCAAUACAGGACCUACUAGGUUCCUCAUCAAUGUGAUACUUGCAAUGUGUCGUCGCCUGACCCAUAAGUCAAGGAGGAGAGGUGUGACUCCAUACGACGUCAAAUCCGAGUAGAAUUGGCGAAACUAGCCAAACUUCUAAUAGAAAGUACCUUUUGUAAUAUAAUCAGGACACCUUCUAAGGAUCCGACUAGGAUUGUAACUACACCAUAGCCUUCUCUCCCUAUAUAAAGAGAGGCUAUGGGCACCCAAUAUAAGAUAAUAGAACACACAAUACGAUCAAUCCAACGCAAAGGCUACGUCGACUAGACAUAAAGGUUAUUACUCGAUCACAAGGGCCCAAACCAUAUAAAUCGAUUGUCUUCUGCAUUUCUGCUUAUGCUGAAGCCAUGAUAACUGUUCUGGGUACCCCCAUUGUAGGCUAUCAGUGGUAAAAGAUCGGUACUAAAAGAUCGAUACUCACCACGACCAUCAUGAAUCUACAUGGAGACCAGGGAUGAGGUGGCUCUACCUAAUCUAGAGGAGGGAAGUGGCGCCAACCAGAUCUAGAGAGAGGCCAAACCUAAUGAAUCCAGCACCUACACGGAGGUGCAAGUGUCACGAAUGGCGUCAUGGCGGCGAUCAGGGCAAGGCAACAAAGGUGUAGGAUUGGAGAGACUAUUUGUCUGAGGAGAGAGAGAAGAGGAUCCCUAAGGAGAAUUUUUUAAUUUCUAACACUUUUUUAAAACAACUUUCAAAUCUGACACUGGAUUCUUUUUUUCAAAACUAACACUUUUGGCCACGCUUAGAGCCUCGGUGCGGCCAAAUAAUUGUGGCACGCCAUGCAUAGUGGCGCGGCAGCGCCGGUGACAUGGCAAGGUCUAGCCCCGCGGCGAGCCUGCCGCGCCCAUAGAUCUUGGCGCGGUAGUGUCAUGCCACGCAACACAGUGUCACAGUGCAUGCAGCAACUAGAACGCGACAGUGCACUUGCUCUCACAUCCGUUGGCUGCAUGUAAGCACACGCUGGGGUCUCAUCUCGACGUGCUCAGGGGAGGCGAAAUGCUACUGAGAAUCAACAGGUACAUGUUAAAUUGUUGUAAAAAAAGUAAAAAAAAAUAAGUACAUGCCACAUCAUAGGCAAGAGGAGGCAGCUAAGGUAAAAAAAAAAAGUAAAAAAUAAGUACAUGUCACAACAUAGAUAGGAGGACAUAGAUAGGGUGAGAUGAGAAACCCCGGUCAUAGGCAUAGGCCAGCUGAGGUCAGCUGCAAGUGGAUAGCCAGCGUUGGAAAUUGCGUGGAGAUCAAAAGGAGAUGGAAAGUAGGACUACUACAAGAUUUUGCUAUCUCACAUAGUAUCUAUAUCUGUAUCUACGUGAUUAAAAAGAGUUUGUCUAGUGAUAACUCAGGUGAUUUAACAUAUAAGUUCUCUGAAAGGCAAAUUAGCAUAGUAUUAAAGCAAAAAUACAUAGAAGACAGACAGAUUUAACCAAAUAAAACAUAUAGAAAUUAAAAAAAAGGCAAAAAAAAAAGAUCAAAUAGUUGUUCAAAUAAUUAUGUCUAAUUCUUAUUACAAAUAAUCAAUUUACAUCAAUUGAACACAAAGCUUAGACCUAAUUAGAAGUAGUAAAAUAUGGCUCAAUGAAAUGUAAUCUAAUCUUACUAAAGAAAAUAUGCAUACAUAAGUAGGGGCUACAUGAUGAAUGAAUAUAUUCCCUCCGUCCCAAAAUAUUUGUUAUUUUCACUUUCCAAGAAGCAACUUUAAUAAAUAUAUAUUAAAAUAUAUUAAUAUUUAUGGUAUAUAAUUAGUAUUAUAGAAAGAUAUUUGAAUCUAGAUUUUUAAUAAAUUUAUUUAGAGAUAUAAGUGUUACAUUUAUAUAGAUGGUACGUGCUAGAUAAUUUGACGCUACAUCUCUCUGCUAACAUACAUGUUAGGAGCGUGAGCAUGGUGGUAGACAAAAACACAACAUGUCAUAGCAUCCAUCACACCACCCUACGCCCCACUAUCACCUAUGGAGUAGUACUUCGUACAACACAAACCUACGGCAUCGCCCCUAACCACAUUGGGCCACAUGAACACUUGUCUGCAUGUUGUCCUCGACGGACGUGAGAGCAAAUGUCCUGCCACGUUCUAGCUGCUACAUGCACUGUCGUGUCGUGUUGCAUGGCGUGGUACUACCGCGCCAAGAUCUGUGGUGUGACAGCCCACCACAUUAGCCGGUCAUGAAACCAGAUCCUGCGCUGCCACACCACCAUACAUGACGCAGCAGAGUUAUUUGGCGAUACCAUGGCUCUAGACGUGACAAAAAAUGUUAGUUUUUUUAAAAAAAUAUAUAAUUUGAAAAUUGUUUAAAAAAACUUUGAGGACCACGUACGCAAGACCAAGGUGACAUGCCCAUAUCCAAUAAUCUGGCUCACUGAAUAUGGGUAUCCAUAGGUAUUGUACCGUAUAUAGGUUAUCCUCACCAAACUCUCUCCAUUCUUAUAAAAAUUUUAUUAUCUCUCUUAACUAAUACACUGUCACAUUAAUAUAUUUAAUAUUUAUAAAAUUAUAGCCUUGUUUAGUUACCAAAAAAUUUUGCAAAUUUUUUUAAUUUUUUCAUAACAUUGAAUCUUGUAACACAUACAUAGACCAUUAAAUAUAGAUAAAAGAAAUAACUAAUUACAUAUUUUAUCUGUAAUUUACAAGAUGAAUCUUUUGAGCCUAAGGUCUUAUUUAAUUGCCAAAAAAAUUCGAGAUUCCCCG
rnacentral:lncRNA from 1 species